AACGAACGCUGGCGGCGUGCCUAACACAUGCAAGUCGAACGGAAUGAGGAGCUUGCUCCUCACUUAGUGGCGAACGGGUGAGUAACGCGUAGAUAAUCUGCCUGAUGAACCGGGAUAACAUUUCGACAGAGGUGCUAAUACCGGAUAAGCCCACGACGGCUUCGGUCUACGCGGGAAAAGGGGGGGACCAUUUGGCAUUCUGGCAUCAGAUGAGCCCGCGUACCAUUAGCUAGUUGGUGGGGUAAAGGCCUACCAAGGCUAGGAGGGUUAUCUGGUCUGAGAGGAUGAUCCGCCACACUGGAACUGAGACACGGUCCAGACUCCUACGGGAGGCAGCAGUUGGGAAUUUUGCGCAAUGGGCGAAAGCCUGACGCAGCAACGCCGCGUGAGUGAUGAAGGCUUUCUGGUCUUAAAGCUCUGUCAAUGGGAAAGAAGUGUAUUGAGGCUAAUAUCCUCGAUACUUGACGGUACCCAUAAAGGAAGCACCGGCUAACUCCGUGCCAGCAGCCGCCGUAAUAC
rnacentral:rRNA from 1 species